UCCAGACUCCUACGGGAGGCAGCAGUGAGGAAUAUUGGUCAAUGGGCCUACGCCUGAACCAGCCAAGUCGCGUGAGGGAAGACUGCCCUAUGGGUUGUAAACCUCUUUUGUCAGGGAGCAAUUGGCGCUACGUGUAGCGUUAUCGAGAGUACCUGAAGAAAAAGCAUCGGCUAACUCCGUGCCAGCAGCCGCGGUAAUACGUAGGUGGCAAGCGUUGUCCGGAUUUACUGGGUGUAAAGGGCGUGCAGCCGGAGAGACAAGUCAGAUGUGAAAUCCACGGGCUCAACCCGUGAACUGCAUUUGAAACUGUUUCCCUUGGGUGUCGGAGAGGUAAUCGGAAUUCCUUGUGUAGCGGUGAAAUGCGUAGAUAUAAGGAAGAACACCAGUGGCGAAGGCGGAUUACUGGACGAUAACUGACGGUGAGGCGCGAAAGCGUGGGGAGCAAACAGGAUUAGAUACCCGGGUA
rnacentral:rRNA from 1 species